UCGAUUUGGAGUUUGUUGCCUAGAGUGAUGGGCUCCGAAGCUAACGCGAUAAAUCGACCGCCUGGGGAGUACGGCCGCAAGGUUAAAACUCAAAUGAAUUGACGGGGGCCCGCACAAGCGGUGGAGCAUGUGGUUUAAUUCGAUGCAACGCGAAGAACCUUACCUGGUCUUGACAUCCACAGAAUCUUGCAGAGAUGCGAGGGUGCCUUCGGGAACUGUGAGACAGGUGCUGCAUGGCUGUCGUCAGCUCGUGUUGUGAAAUGUUGGGUUAAGUCCCGCAACGAGCGCAACCCUUAUCCUUUGUUGCCAUUGGUUCGGCCGGGAACUCAAAGGAGACUGCCGUUGAUAAAGCGGAGGAAGGUGGGGACGACGUCAAGUCAUCAUGGCCCUUACGACCAGGGCUACACACGUGCUACAAUGGCGUAUACAAAGGGAGGCGACCUCGCGAGAGCAAGCGGACCUCAUAAAGUACGUCUAAGUCCGGAUUGGAGUCUGCAACUCGACUCCAUGAAGUCGGAAUCGCUAGUAAUCGUGAAUCAGAAUGUCACGGUGAAUACGUUCCCGGGCCU
rnacentral:rRNA from 1 species